rnacentral:rRNA from 1 species
GGCGAACGCUGGCGGCGUGCUUAACACAUGCAAGUCGAACGGAAAGGCCCUGCUUUUGUGGGGUGCUCGAGUGGCGAACGGGUGAGUAACACGUGAGUAACCUGCCCUUGACUUUGGGAUAACUUCAGGAAACUGGGGCUAAUACCGGAUAGGAGCUCCUGCUGCAUGGUGGGGGUUGGAAAGUUUCGGCGGUUGGGGAUGGACUCGCGGCUUAUCAGCUUGUUGGUGGGGUAGUGGCUUACCAAGGCUUUGACGGGUAGCCGGCCUGAGAGGGUGACCGGCCACAUUGGGACUGAGAUACGGCCCAGACUGCUACGGGAGGCAGCAGUGGGGAAUAUUGCACAAUGGGCGGAAGCCUGAUGCAGCAACGCCGCGUGCGGGAUGACGGCCUUCGGGUUGUAAACCGCUUUCGCCUGUGACGAGGCGUGAGUGACGGUAAUGGGUAAAGAAGCACCGGCUAACUACGUG